rnacentral:rRNA from 1 species
AUUGAACGCUAGCGGAAUGCCUUACACAUGCAAGUCGAACGGAGUGGAGAACGGGUGAGUAAUGUAUCGGAACGUGCCCCGUAGCGGGGGAUAACUACGCGAAAGCGUAGCUAAUACCGCAUACUAUUUGAGCGGCCUAUAGCGGAUUGGCUAGUGGGUGGGGUACCGGCUCACCAAGGCGACGAUCCGUAGCUGGUUUGAGAGGACGACCAGCAACACUGGGACUGAGACACGGCCCAGACGCCUAGGGGAGGCAGCAGUGGUGAAUCUGGGACAAUGGGGGAAACCCUGAGCCAGCCAUGCCGCGUGUGCGAUGAAGGCCUUCGGGUUGUAAAGCACUUUUGGCAGGAAAGCGGUACCUGCAGAAUAAGCACCGGCUAACUACGUGCCAGCCGCCGCGGUAAUUC